rnacentral:lncRNA from 1 species
CCACGAUAUACUACCAGUAAAAGAUUUUACAUAAAAAUCUGUUGCAUUGAACAGUCAAAUAAUUCAAACGCAUUACACACUUACUGAGUUGAGGUCUGAAUGCCAAAUUUAACAUUGCCAAAACUGUUGUUGCAUUGAACAGUCAAAUAAUUCAAACGCAUAACACACAUACUGAGUUGAGAUCUGAAUGCCAAAUUUAACAUUGCCAAAACUGUGACCGGUCAAGGUAAUAUUUCUGAGAACAAAGUAAAAGAGCACUCCAUUUAUAACUUCAGCAGCAAGAGGUUAUAGGAGUAUCUCCGGAUGCCAUAACUUUAACAUUGUAAAA